GACGAACGCUGGCGGCGUGCUUAACACAUGCAAGUCGAACGGAAAGGCCCUGCUUUUGUGGGGUGCUCGAGUGGCGAACGGGUGAGUAACACGUGAGUAACCUGCCCUUGACUUUGGGAUAACUUCAGGAAACUGGGGCUAAUACCGGAUAGGAGCUCCUGCUGCAUGGUGGGGGUUGGAAAGUUUCGGCGGUUGGGGAUGGACUCGCGGGUUAUCAGCUUGUUGGUGGGGUAGUGGCUUACCCAGGCUUUGACGGGUAGCCGGCCUGAGAGGGUGACCGGCCUCAUUGGGACUGAGGUAGGGCCCAGAGUCCAACGGGGGGCAGCAGUGGGAAGUAUUGCACAAUGGGAGGAAGCCUGAUGCAGCAGCGCCGCGUGCGUGAUGACGGCCUUCGGGUUGUAAACCGCUUUCGCCUGUUACGAAGCGUGAGUGACGGUAAUGGGUAAAGAAGCACCGGCUAACUACGUG
rnacentral:rRNA from 1 species